UACGUAGGGCGCAAGCGUUGUCCGGAAUUAUUGGGCGUAAAGAGCUCGUAGGCGGCUUGUGCGUCCGCUGUGAAAUCCCGGGGCUUAACCCCGGGCGUGCAGUGGAUACGGGCAGGCUAGAGGCAGGCAGGGGGAGAACGGAAUUCCUGGUGUGAGCGGUGAAAUGCGCAGAGUAUCAGGAGGAACACCGGUGGCGAAGGCGGUUCUCUGGGCCUUACCUGACGCUGGAGGAGCGAAAGCGUGGGGAGCAAACAGG
rnacentral:rRNA from 1 species